CACUAUUUCCACCACCAACGUUAACAUCACUACCCACUCACACUUUCCACUCUCCCCACUCACACUUCACACGAUACUUUGCCCCCCACCAAAAUAAACUUUAGCCAUAAUACCCAUUCCCUUCCACUCACCAUUUCUCCUACAUACCAAGGAACUAAGUGCAGAGCUACACCCACAGAAGUUCAGCUAUACCACACGGACAUCCCUAUCACUUCACUCAUUCUGAAAAUUUUCAUUUGCUCACCAAGAUCAUUUCGACAGAAUCCAACACACAACAAACAAACAGGAUCAACACUCACUGAAAUUUCUCACAAGGCUUUGAGCAUCAGGAGGAUUAGCACUGCUUUUCCAAUUCAGAGAUAAGAUUAAACGACAGGCUUUGCCUAUACAGGUUAAUGGCUGGUGAUGACGGGGCAGAGCUGAGGCUAGAGUUCAACUCCUUAUUUUGAUUUUCGCUGCAGAACUAGCCAGUAUCUGUCUUUUGUUUCUUAACUUAAGACCUAUCAUGUUGUGAUUCUAAACAAUAUCUUUUGUUGAGCCUAAACUAUUGACUCUCAAAGUAUUUCAAUCAGUGAAUGUUGGUUAUCUGAAGCAUGACACUAAACUUGUGAUCCUGAAGUUGUUAUGUUUGUUGAUUGAUUCGUAUCACUUGAAUACCUGUCUUUCUUCAUCCAAAGGGGCUAAGCCCGAUUGUUAUCCCUUUUAUUCGGAUUUCACAAGGAUUUUCCCUUGUUCAUUUAGAUGAUUAGUCGUA